AUGAGUAGGGGGGACGGAGCGGGGGUAGUGGAGGAUCGCCGGUCGAGGCUGCUGCCAGUGCCCAGGCAAUCCAGGCAUACCGAACACGGUGUCACAGCGAUUGCGCCAGGCGCCUCCCGCUCAUUCUACCCCCAUUCCAUCCCCACCGCUUGAGUUGCCCGGGAGCCGCGGCUUUCUCCCGGUAUCUGCACAACGUAAACGUAUUAAUUAUUAAUUAGCGCAAGUUCGCGUCACGUCGCGUCGCGUCGUUGCAUAGGUAUGGGUAUGACGGAUUUCGAAAGUUUCCGUUUCGCGGGCGGACGAGUGAAACAGCCGGGAGCAGCGAAGAGGAGCGGAAAAGAGCAACGCGAAAGGAACGAGCACAGGAAGCUGUGAAAUGUGCGGCGACGACGCAUCCGCCGAAAAUAACGACUUGGAGAGGGUCGCAUCGAGAGAAUCAUACGCAGCAGAUUAUCUGGAUGGCCUGAGAGGAGGAGGAGACCUUGGAUAGGCAUCGGGCGCCAGCGGAUCAACCGUACGAAUCGACGUAGCUACGUGGCUGAUAAUUCCGCUGCUGCGCAUCGGUCGGUGAGUGACAAAACUUAUUUCAAUAGUGAAGGAGAUAUUGCGUACAAUUAUUUGGAGCGCACAUAGUCAUUUGUAAAAUCCGUUUCCGAACGCAGCCAUACCUAGUAGGAUACAAUAAAGUAUGCAUAUCCCGAGAAAAAAAUAUAAACAUGCA